rnacentral:rRNA from 1 species
UACGAAGGGGGCUAGCGUUGCUCGGAAUCACUGGGCGUAAAGCGCACGUAGGCGGAUCUUUAAGUCGGGGGUGAAAUCCUGGAGCUCAGCUCCAGAACUGCCUUCGAUACUGAGGGUCUCGAGUCCGGGAGAGGUGAGUGGAACUCCGAGUGUAGAGGUGAAAUGCGUAGAUAUUACAAGGAACACCAAUGGCGAAGGCAGCUUGCUGGGCCGCACCUGACACUCAGUCACGAAAGCGUGGGGAGCGAACGGG